CCAAGACGGCAACAGCAGAGCGUUAAACCAAGUCCAGGGUGGUUCUGAGCACGGGGCCGUGGGCAGCUGCACAGCUUCACACCCACGACGUCAGCGUUCUGUGUCCGCGUUUCCGCGUUCGGCCUUGCAGACUUCUGAGGACGCCAUCGCGGAUCCUGAUUCCCAGACACUGCCAAGAGCUCAUUUUCGUUUCUCCCAUGGUGACAUCAUCUUGUGUCCUCCCUGUUGGUGGUAGCCGGUUCUCCUCGUUGUUUAGCUAACUUUCCACCUUCUCUGAAACUCUGCAGCAACCGUCCCUCCCCAGCCUUUUUCCUAAACGUGUAUCUGGAAUCCACUAAGAGUCAUCUCUACGUCACUGAAAGAGAGCAUCCGUGGUGGCCGUGACAAAGAGAGUUUCAUCCGUAGCCAAGAGGGGCAUUGGGGACCGCAGUUUCGGCAAAGGAGAAAGGAGAAACCCCAGGGAGCAUCAUGGUAACGCCAUGUCUGUGAGGCUGGGCUGAUGCCAUGGCUGUGGUCUGGAAACAGGACUGGAGGACCUCAAGUGGCCCUUCUGGGACUUAGGUUGAAGGGAGCAGUGCGGACAGUUGAGCACCGGGACGCGGCAGUGAGAGAGAGGGAGGCCUUGUCUGUGGACCAUUUAGGGUUUCUGGGGGAAGCUAUUUGGGGCCAGCACUUUCCUAGGUAGUUUGCAAAAUGGGGGCUUAAGAGAACAUUACCCUCUGCCCAGAACAACUAAGGAGUCACAUUUGGAUGGAAUACCAACCUGUGAGAGCCCGGAAGGAAGAGAGACCUUCAGAGUUUGGGACCCAGCUGGUCACCAAGUGAACAGAAUGAGCAGCGAAGCUCCCUUUGAACCUCCUCAGAGUCAUCUUUUACCACAAAAAGAUGAAAAGCUAAUUUAUUUUAAUGCUAUAACAAAGGCUUCUGCUUCUUUCCCCCAACAAGUUCUAGAAGGAAAAAGGAACUCAACAGAGAAAGAUAGAGGGGAAAAUCUU
rnacentral:lncRNA from 1 species